CUGAGGGACGCGUUCGGGUCAAUUGCGGACUGCAACACCCGAUCUCUCUCCACACGCCUCCCGGACGGGAGCUGUCGGAGGGGGAGCGCGCAACCAUCAG
rnacentral:ncRNA from 1 species